GGCUUGGCGCGCGCGGCCCGGCUCGAUUCGGGUUGUGUGCCGUUGUGCGCCUGCCAUCCUUGCGUUGGGUGGUUGUGCUCUUCACUGGGUUGCAGCCGCACUAUCGCAUCUUUUACUUUGAAAAAAUUAGAGUGUUUAAAGCAGGCUUGCGCUAUGAAUACAUUAGCAUGGAAUAAUAAUUUAGGACUUCUGUUCUAUUUUGUUGGUUUCUAGGAUGGAAGUA
rnacentral:rRNA from 1 species